AGUCCCAGUGGUUUAUUCAUGGAAAAUCAGAAGAAGACAGUCUGCAAAAUGGCCAGUAAACUGAAGAAGCUGGGCUGGAAUCAUCUGCAUCUUCCCAUUUGAAAACUUUAUCUGUUGCUUGCUCCUACAGAGUACCUGGGAACACCGUCCAUCAUCUUUAGACUUCUACAAUCAUGUUCCUGCUUGAAGGGAAGUAACUUCCUGAGAACAAAAACAGCCAGAAAGCAACAGAGACAUGGGGUCACUGGAAGCACCACCUAACAGCCCUGUGGACGCCUUAGAAGGCGAAGAGAGAAAUCCCAGAAGCCAUGUAUCUUGAGAUUUACUCCAAGUCGGUUACAAAGAGCAAAUGAAA